UUAGGUUAAGUUUAGAUUAAAAGUACAACGUAUAAUGAUCGAAUCAAUCGAUGUAUACCUUCUAACAACGUCACAAUGACCUCGUGCCGCAGCGAGGGACAAUGCCGUGCAACCUUGGCUAUUGGUUAAUUCAACGUCCGCACCAAAUU